AUUGAACGCUGGCGGCAGGCCUAACACAUGCAAGUCGAACGAGUGGCGCACGGGUGAGUAAUGUCUGGGACACCGCCCGAGGGAGGGGGAUCACUACUGGAAACGGUCGCUUAUACCGCAUUCCCUCAUAUAUGCCCAUAGGGGAUUAUAUUGGAGGGGGGGUAAGGGCUCACCUAGGCGACGAUCCCUAGCUGGUCUGAGAGGAUGACCAGCCACACUGGAACUGAGACACGGUCCAGACUCCUACGGGAGGCAGCAGUGGGGAAUAUUGCACAAUGGGCGCAAGCCUGAUGCAGCCAUGCCGCGUGUAUGAAGAAGGCCUUCGGGUUGUAAAGUACUUUCAGCGGGGAGGCGUUACUCGCAGAAGAAGCACCGGCUAACUCCGUGCCAGCAGCCGCGGUAAUAC
rnacentral:rRNA from 1 species